GCAGUUACAACAGGGAUAUCUGCGCCCUUCAACAACUUGGCUAUUAUAUACAAGCAACAGGGAAAUUAUGCAGAAGCGAUAGCCUGUUACAAUGAAGUUCUUCGCAGACUGCUGCUGAUGGUCUUGUCAAUAGAGGGAACACAUUUAAGGAGAUUGGUAGAGUUACUGAAGCAAUUCAGGAUUAUAUACGUGCUGUGAAUAUCAUACCAACUAUGCCAGAAGCCCAUACAAAUUUGGCUUCAGCUUACAAAGAUAGUUUACAAAUCUCAAGUACUCCAGAGUUGAAAUUGAUGAAGUACGGUUCGAGUGGGC